rnacentral:rRNA from 1 species
CAGCAGCCGCGGUAAUACGUAGGUGGCAAGCGUUGUCCGGAAUUAUUGGGCGUAAAGCGCGCGCAGGCGGAUAGGUCAGUCUGUCUUAAAAGUGCGGGGCUCAACCCCGUGAGGGGAUGGAAACUGUAUGCCUCGAGUGCAGGAGAGGAAAGCGGAAUUCCCAGUGUAGCGGUGAAAUGCGUAGAUAUUCGCAAGAACACCAGUGGCGAAGGCGGCUCACUGGCCCGAUACUGACGCUGAGGCACGAAAGCGUGGGGAGCAAACAGGAUUAGAUACCCCUGUAGUCCCUGUCUCUUAUACA